GUUUAUCACGUAAUCUAAUAUUGAAUUAACUUUAAAAUCAUGUGAAAAGAUUAAUCAUUUUAAUAAAUAUUAGACGAGAAGUGUUGUUUCCCUAAAGACAAAGGUCCGCCGCACCGAGCCUCUGUUUCUCUAGCCCGACACCCUCCUUUUCUCUCUCUCUUGAUCUGCACCUUCACUCACCGUGGAACGUCCACCUCCUGUUCUCAAUUUUUUACGCUGGAAAGAAAUUUUAUGGGGUUCUAUUCUCGCAAUUCGUCUCGGGAUUAAAAAAUGGGGAAUAUUUAUGAUUUGUUUGAUCUAAAGGGGAAUAUUAAGAGCUGUUUAUGUGGACUAUUUGAGACUCUUUAGGCAAACAAGUCUCUGGCUUCUGUUGGAUGUGGUAUAAGGUGAUGCUAUUGAAUCAUUGAUGGGAAAGUUUCUUUACCUAUCAUAAAAAAAGAAAAAAAAAAAGGGUUUCUGGUACAACAGUUUAGAAGCUGUUUCGCGGAACUAGAGUUUACAAUCUAAUCUUAACUUGCUAUGCUCAUUUUAAAUUGACUAAAAUACUUGUUCACUGUAUAGGGAUUGUUUGUGGAAGUCAAACUUCUGGUUGUCAAAAAAUAUAUAAAACUGAAAAGUGAGAUGAGAUGCAAUUAGCUACUUCUACAACAGAAAUGUUUUUCUUUCCCCUGGGUUAGAAUUAUUGAUUUAUGUAGCUAGUUGGAAAGUACUAUAAUGGUUUGAAUAAAGAGAGAAAUACAGGAGUAUUUUGUGCUAAGGUGUUUUGGUUGGUCAAGUUUCGCUUCAAGGAGUUUGUGCUGUUGUAAAUAGGAUUAGUUAUUCAUUGUCCAAAGAAAAACAAGAAUUAAAUGAUAUUCUGGAGGAGAAUUUCAGUUGGAAAAUGUAUGAGCUGCAAUAGUCUAAACUUCUUCGAAAAAUGCAUUAGGAAUUAAGCUUAUCAUUUCUUGAAAAAUUUGGAAUUAAAGAUGUUUCUGAUUGUUCUCAAUUAUGAGAUCAUUUGCUAGGUUGAAGAACAGAAACCCAAGAAGAAGGCUCAUAGUGAAAAGGAGCCCCGGAUGAAGCACCAUCAUAGCUGUUUAAAGAAUCAAAAGCAUUCAUCAUCCAGGAAACAAUCAGAUUUAGAAAAUGUCACUGCAGAAGGGGAAAAGGGGAAGACUAGUAGACAGAAAUCUUGAUGUUGUAGUAUAGCCUCAUAAAUUGAGCAAAUGGAAUUAAAGUCUAAAAUAGCAUGUGUUAAAUUAGAAAAAGAUUCAGAAAGUUAGUUAUUUUCUGUUAUUGUCUUUCAUUAGUAUAAAUACAUUCAGUACUUGUAAUUAAUUCAUUCACACAAAAGGUUUUCAUUUCAUUUUUCCUCUGCUUCUAUUCUGUGUUCAUCAGAAAAUUGACAUGGUAUCAGAUUGAAAAUCAUUCUUGCUUUUGCAAAUUCAUCUUCUCGUCUCUAAAACUUUGAAUUCUUGAAAUCUGAAUUACAAAAUUCUGCUCGAGAAUUUUUGUUGUUGUCUUCUUCGUCUUCUUUCAUUUCUUGCACUUUCUCUAAUAGAUUCCUGAAAUGGAUUCUACCAAUUCUGCCACUUCUCCUCGCUCUGUCAUAAAUCUCUCAGAUUAUGCCUCUAGUCCUUCUUAUCUACAUCCAAAUGACAAUCCUGGUGCCCUCCUCGUUUCAGAAAUUUUUUCUGGAGAUAAUUACAUUGCAUGGAGUCGAUCAAUCACCAUGGCAUUGACUGUCAAGAACAAGGUGGCAUUCAUUAAUGGUUCGAUUGCUGCUACUCCUGCUGAUCAACUUGUUCUUCAUAGUGCUUGGCUGCGUGUUAACAAUUUGAAAAUUGACACUUGAUGUUGAUGAAAAGGAAAGAGAAGGCAGAGGGUAUUGUGAUUCAAGUCAUCACAAUGGGAUUGAGUCACACUUCAAGCGUCACAAUGUUGCUCCCAAACUUUCAGAGGAAGAGCGGGCUACUAGGCGGUAUGAGAUGCAAGUGGAUGUUGAACUGCAUGAAGAGCAAAGAUGGAAACGUUUGAGGAAGGCUGAGGAGGACGAUGGGUGAGAAACUACCCAUGCCAGCUUAUCUAGCGGCAGAAAUUUCUUGGAUGCUGCUCAGAAAAGUAUCUAUGGUGCUGAAAAAGGGGGAAGCUGGGUAGGUCUGCAGUUGAUUGCUGCCUAUCCUGAAUAGUUUUAGCUGAUAACUCUAGGUUUGCUUCUCCGCCUUGGCCCCCCUGCACAUGGGGUAUCUCUCAAGUAUUAGCUUUGAACCAUGUAUUGAAAUAUGAAUAGGGCGAAGUGAUAAUCGCAUUCUUUCACAAUUUACUUCUCCUUAGGGGCUAAUACCUUCCAGUAAUACUUGGCUUGAAAAUGAGGUGCCAAUUACUGACAUCUCCAGGCGUAAAUGUUAUAUAACACUCGCCAUGUGUGUGUUCUAUCACGUUUACAAAUUAAGGAUGACAAUGAAAAUUCAACCACUUCUUAAGGAAUUGAUUGGUUUGUUCUGUA